CUCCUAGUGGUGAUCACUCGGCUUCGUUGCGUC
rnacentral:rRNA from 1 species